CCUGCCUACCGCCAUCCGACUCUCCCCUAGUCUUGCAUCUUUUAAGAAGUGCCUUAAAACCCAUCUCUUCAGGAAAGCUUAUGGCCUCCAAGACUAACCCCUACCUCACAUACCUGUCUCUUGCCCUCUCCUAAAGGGCAGCCCACCUUAUUUGAUUGCAAAUUCCUGUCCUAAUGUGUUUUACACCCCACCUCCUAUAGCAUGUAAGCUCGAUUGAGCAGGGUCCUCUUCAACCUAUUGUUCCUGUAAGUUUAUUUGUAAUUGUCCUAUUUAUAGUUAAAUCCCCUCUCAUAAUAUUGUAAAGCGCUACGGAAUCUGUUGGCGCU